AUUGAACGCUGGCGGAAUGCUUUACACAUGCAAGUCGAACGGCAGCACGGACUUCGGUCUGGUGGCGAGUGGCGAACGGGUGAGUAAUACAUCGGAACGUGCCCAAUCGUGGGGGAUAACGUAGCGAAAGCUACGCUAAUACCGCAUACGAUCUAAGGAUGAAAGCGGGGGAUCGCAAGACCUCGCGCGAUUGGAGCGGCCGAUGGCAGAUUAGGUAGUUGGUAGGGUAAAGGCCUACCAAGCCGACGAUCUGUAGCUGGUCUGAGAGGAUGGUCAGCCACACUGGGACUGAGACACGGCCCAGACUCCUACGGGAGGCAGCAGUGGGGAAUUUUGGACAAUGGACGCAAGUCUGAUCCAGCCAUUCCGCGUGCAGGAUGAAGGCCCUCGGGUUGUAAACUGCUUUUGUACAGAACGAAAAGGCUCUGGUUAAUACCUAGGGCUCAUGACGGUACUGUAAGAAUAAGCACCGGCCAACUACGUGCCAGCCGCCGCAGUAA
rnacentral:rRNA from 1 species